UUUGAUACUUAGCGUGAAAAAACAACAAUCCUCUGUUGAUGGGCUUUAAAAAAUCUUUUCCGGUGAGGUGGGAACCCAUUUUUGGGGUCGGAUCUAAAAGAACAAUGGAACCUCUCACUUGGCUUAAACCAAAAUAAAACUUGUCUUUUCGUCCCUUCUCCCUGUUGGGUGUUGGCUUUUAACUCUUUCCAAGCUGCUUUUGAGAACGGCUGUUAGUGUACUAGAUGCAAAGGUACCUUUCUUUCAGCUUGUUAAAUGUCCGUGAUGUUUGUUGUCUUUUAGAAAAGGCUAGCUACAGGAGUGCAUCUAGUAUUUCAAAAAUGACGACGGCAACAAGGUAGAUUAAAGGAAGUAGAUUUGAUAAUUAUGAUGCAAGAUGAUGGCGUUUGAUGAAUACAGCUUAUUUUUACCGAGAACUUUCGUUAAGACCAUUUGACAUCCUGAUACUUGAACAUAACUAUACUGUUUGAUACUUUUUUAAAUGAGUAGGAAAAGCCGUUAUCAGUUACCUCUCACUUGAAUGUUAAAUCUAACUUGAGUCGGUUCCUACCCUUUAUAAGUUAAAAUUCAUCGUGUUGUGUAUACUAUUAGAAGCUGUGACCGUAAAAGUUAAGGAAUAGUCUAAAAGCACAGCUCUUCUUGAAGUUACUUAGUGUAAAUAGUGAAGUAGGACUGUCGUUGAUGGGCGAUGAAGAGGGGCCAUAUUUGUUGCAUGUUGCACGUAUAAAAGUCGAGAUGUGCUUAAAAACAGAACAGUAUUGAAAAAACAGUGCUAAAAAAUUGUUUUUUGCAUAGUCAUCUAAAAAUUAUUUGAGGUAAUUUAGGAUUAGUCGUUGGAAGAACAAAUUAGGAAUGCUCAGACCUUUGUGUAUUUUUGAAUAUAUUUGUCUUCCUUCUGCGGAGCUCUUGUGCUGUAAAGGUGAAGAACUGCGUAAAGACAGUGUUGGGGAGACUUACGUAGCACAUCUAAAAUCAUAGGUGCAGGUUGAUAGGACCUUAUUUCAUAGUGUAUUUCCAGUAGGAAACAACUUGAAUACCUUUUAUGUAGUAGUACAUAUUCUAUCAGUUAAACAUACCUUGAUUUUUCAGAAUUAAAGCACUAUUUUGUUUUCUCAAAAGAAUGAUUUGAAAUAUUUUAUCACUGAAAGUGGUUUUAAAGAGAUUGAGAAUGUAGUUCAGAAUCCUUUUUGAGUUGUAAAAUGUGAAGAUAAUUGUUAGCAGUUUAAGCUCUUGUGUGUGAUCUUUCAUGAUAAAUUGGUAGGAGACAGACUGUUGUGGACCCUGGUUUGGUAUUGAAUGAAGGUCAUAGAUCCCACAAGUUUUCGAGCCUCUGCUUAGAAGACAAUGCUAAUCCCCGUUUGCUGAGAUCAAAUAGAUGCUGGUUUAAAAUUUACAGUAACCAGUGGCCAUUUUAAGUUCACUCAUUUUUCCUGGAGGAGUUGAUUUUUAAUGCUCAAUAACUGUAACUUACAAGACGAUAAUGUGGUUGCCGAAGAUUCUGAAUAAACACAGCUCUUAUCCCAGGUGUGCCAUUUUUGAAGACUGAGACAAUAAGAGUUUUAUCUUUAAGAAUAAAGGAGAGCCCUUGGGAAAUUCUGUAUUGAAUAUAGCAAAAAUGUGAAUCCUCAAAUGGAAGGAAAGGCCUAUACCAUAGACAUCGAAGCAUUUACACCCAACUUCAAGAGUUUGAAAUGGACUUUACCUCUGAGAAAUCAAGAUGGCAGCCCAUUAUGGGAACUGAGGAAAAUGGAUUAAUGCAAGAAUGCUGUGAUAUUACACAACCAACACAGGAUUCUUUUAAUGUGGAUUCCAUGAAAUGAAUGAUUCUUACCCAACACAAAUGGACAGUGGAAUUUUCUUCUAAAGACUUAUUACAUAUCAUGUACAUUUUUGACAUCUGGAGAAGAUUCUACAAUUCUACAAAUGGUAGUUUGUAUUCCUGGAAUUUCUUGCAGUUUGAUCUGAGUGACUUUAUGGAAUGUUAACUUUAAUAAAAUCUCUAAAACUUAAAAAUUUCUCAGUUUGGGCUUUUUAUAAAAUUUUUUCAGUGGACGUUUUGAUUAAAUGUUCAUUUUACCUUGAUAACAUUUUGACCUUUAUAGUUGCUUUUCAUUAAAGUAUACUGAAUAAAGCUGGUAAAAUGGAA